rnacentral:lncRNA from 10 species
UGCUCCUUAUAAUUGCAUCCAGAGUCUGGUUCAAAUCUGACUCACCCGUGGGUGUCACCUGGGCUGAGGACCAAAAGGUCUUCUCUGUAGCCCCUGUCCAGACCACCCUAGCCUGGGACCCCAGGAGCUCAGGCAGAAACUGCUAAGCGAACACUCCUCUUUGGAACCCUAGGGGAGACGACAGCUUUUGGAAACAGGAUGUAUGUUAUUUGCAGGCACAAACAAUGCAUAAAAUCAAAUACAGCAAUUGUAUUAGGAGAUUGCUGAGAAAUAGGCAAGAACUGCUGAGAAGAGAGUUUUUUCUUCUCUUCUGUAGGUAAGUCCAUGAACAGAAGAGUGUGUCAGAGGCAUUUUAUUUUUCUGGUUGAAUAUUCUUGACAAUGUGAAGUUAUACCGCAGAAUCCAAUCACUGAGUUGGGUUGGAUAUUUCAUUCUGAAAAGCGUUGCAAGUCUGACCCUCUCUGCUCCAGUCAGGAACUCCUGUCAUUCCCCACCCCCACAGCCUUCCCCAGCAUUCACAAUGCUCACACACGGGCCCGCCUGCCAGUCUGUCCUCUUCCUCCCAGGCUGUCCCCAUCAGGGGAUCUUGCUGCUAUGUCCUGGUGAUGGGACUUCUCAGACGCUGAGCCCCUGCCGGCAACGCUCUCCCUCGCCAAGUCCGAAUCCCACAGAACCUUUGAGACACGGCUCCAACAAGGGUGCAGCACCCGCCAGGCCGAGAGCCUGCAUUUGGCUUGUCCUAUUUGUCACCAUUUAACGUGUUUCCUCCUCAGCCUGGGUCUUCUUUGGGACUAUCAGCACAACACAGGUUUUCAACAAAUAGUUACCGAAUAAAUAAACCUCUCCCUGUUGCCAGAGCAGGCACCACACACGGGAUCCCUAAGGGGCUCCAGUGGGUGCUACAAAACGAUGCUGAGAGUUCCUUUAGUCUUCUCAGAUGGCAGCAAAUUUUUGGUGUCCCAAAUAAUAGGGAAAGAAAAUGGAUUACAUGUGGUCUCUAGAAGGUUUCAGACACUCAUUUGGGCCAGUCCUGCCAGUGGCCAACCUCCUACUUCACCCCAAUGUCAAUCAAAAUUGCUAAAUAAUUUGGGCCAGGUGCGGUGGCUCAUGCCUGUAAUCCCAGUACUUUGGGAGGCCGAGGCGGGUGGAUCACUUCAGGUCAGGAGUUUGAGACCAGCCUGGGCAACAUGGUGAGACCUCGUCUCUACUAAAAAUACAAAAAAGUAGCCGGGUGUGGUGGUGGGGGCCUGUAAUCCCAGCUACUCGGGAGGCUGAGGCAGGAGAAUCACUUGAACCCAGGAGACAGAGGUUGCAGUGAGCCAAGAUUGCACCACUGCGCUCCAGCCUGGGCGACAAAGUGAGACUCUGUCUUGAAAAAAAAAUUGUUAAAUAAUUGGUCAAGGUUAUGUUUCCUUGAACCCUUGUGGGGCUGUUCAAAUGUAGGUACUUUUGCUUCUGUUGUUGAGAUGGGAAUCUUACU